CCUACGGGAGGCAGCAGUGAGGAAUAUUGGUCAAUGGACGAGAGUCUGAACCAGCCAAGUAGCGUGAAGGAUGACUGCCCUAUGGGUUGUAAACUUCUUUUAUAUGGGAAUAAAAUGUUCCACGUGUGGGAUUUUGUAUGUACCAUAUGAAUAAGGAUCGGCUAACUCCGUGCCAGCAGCCGCGGUAAUACGGAGGAUCCGAGCGUUAUCCGGAUUGAUUGGGUUUAAAGGGAGCGUAGGUGGAUUGUUAAGUCAGUUGUGAAAGUUUGCGGAUCAACCGUAAAAUUGCAGUUGAAACUGGCAGUCUUGAGUACAGUAGAGGUGGGCGGAAUUCGUGGUGUAGCGGUGAAAUGCGUAGAUAUCACGAAGAACUCCGAUUGCGAAGGCAGCUCACUGGACUGCAACUGACACUGAGGCUCGAAAGUGUGGGUAUCAAACAGGAUUAGAUACCCGAGUAGUC
rnacentral:rRNA from 1 species